GCCGCGCAUUCUGCCUUCAGUUUAAGACCAUAACAUGAUACAGCUAGUGCAAUGUCGGAUAACAAAAGCAACCCCCUGAAGAAGGUUUUUACCCUGGUCACCUCACCGAUAUGGGUUCCAGUGGCUGCUGUUGGCGGAAUCGUGCACGGGGCUGUUAAGGGACUUGACAAAGCAAACGAUCUCAGUAAAGAGGAGGGUGCGUUGGUUGGCGUCGGGGCAGCCGCUCCGCUUACAGCCUUAGGUAUAGUGACCGGACCGUUUACAGGCAUCAAAAAGGUCGGGGAGACCAUGUGGGGAGACGAUGACGACAAAUAAAUUCCGCUGGCAAUAAGGCUUCGGGAGGUGGACUGCAGGAUAUCUGAUCUGACAAAUCACUAAUGUGUUCUACCAUGUUCUCGUACAACGUUUUUGUUCUUGUUUUUUUUUGUUCCAUUGUUAUUAUGAAAAUAAAGUGAUCUCUAUUACAA